rnacentral:rRNA from 1 species
UACGGGGGGGGCAAGCGUUGUUCGGAAUUACUGGGCGUAAAGGGCUCGUAGGUGGCCAACUAAGUCACACGUGAAAUCCCUCGGCUUAACCGGGGAACUGCGUGUGAUACUGGAUGGCUUGAGUUUGGGAGAGGGAUGCGGAAUUCCAGGUGUAGCGGUGAAAUGCGUAGAUAUCUGGAGGAACACCGGUGGCGAAGGCGGCAUCCUGGACCAAUACGUGACGCUGAGGAGCGAAAGCCAGGGGAGCAAAGCGGG